GUAGGGUGAACCUGCGGAAGGAUCAUUACCUUUCAAUGCAGAAGAGUUGAGAUGGUUGAGUAUCUCGCCUCUCAAUUCUCGCUGUAUUUUACCCUUGUUUUUCUCAUACUAUUAUUUCCUCGGCAGGCUCGCCUGCCGGGUGAAACAACUUCAAACCUGUUUAAUUUUCAAUCAGCGUCUGAACAAAUUAAUAAUUACAACUUUCAACAACGGAUCUCUUGGUUCUGGCAUCGAUGAAGAACGCAGCGAAAUGCGAUAAGUAGUGUGAAUUGCAGAAUUCAGUGAAUCAUCGAAUCUUUGAACGCACAUUGCGCCCCUUGGUAUUCCAUGGGGCAUGCCUGUUCGAGCGUCAUUUGUACCUUCAAGCUCUGCUUGGUGUUGGGUGUUUGUCCUUGCUCUAGUGGCGGGACUCGCCUCAAAGUAAUUGGCAGCCAGUGUUUUGGUUUUGAAGCGCAGCACAAGUCGCGAUUCAAGUCUAUACGCUAGUUUCCACAAGUCUUUUAUCACUUUUGACCUCGGAUCAGGUAGGGAUACCCGCUGAACUUAAGCAUAUCAAUAA
rnacentral:rRNA from 1 species